rnacentral:lncRNA from 1 species
UGAUAUUAAAAAAAACUUUGUUUUCGUUUAACAUUCUCAUAUAGUUCAAAAGAUACACACAGAGAAAGGAUAUGAACGUAUUAAAUAAUAGCUUACACACACGAGAGAAAGACAAACUUGAAAGCAAAGUGUUUUGACUCGAAACAAUGAAUUUUAUUUGUCAUGAGACAUUUGAAAUUAUAAAAAUAGAUUUUUUUUUUUUUUGGAUAAUAUUUUGGUAAUACACCAUUGCCCAUUUCAAACACCCAAGAUCUAAGACACACAAAAAAAAAAAAAAAAAAAUCUUGGGAAAAAGUUCGGAAAAAAAAAACAGGCAAUAAUAUAGUCCCAAAAAUAAAAUCCUUUUCUUUUAUUUUUUGAAAAUAAGAAAUUUUUAAAACCUUGAAUAAUAUAUAAGAAAAUGAGAACUAUACUUCUUCAGGCCAUUCAAUGACACUCUUCAACGAUGGUUUCCACUUCCGACAUAACUUCCGGCGAGAUUUCUCUUCUUCGACAGCCGCAGCCGCGGCCUCUCCGGCCAAUCUUUCCGCCUCAAGUUCUCUAAGAAAAUCUCCAAAAGAAGCCAAAGUACAAUCUCCUCCUUUGUCUGCGUUAAUUUGGAAAAAUAUGAGUUUCUCUAACUCAUCUCUCGUUAGAACAAUCUUCACUUUCCGAUCUUUGCUUUUGUAAUCUUUCUUCGUCACUUCUUCUUCAUAUUUCUCUUCUUCUUCUUGAUGAUCAGCAACUUUUUCAUUGUUUCUUCCGACUAAACAGUUUCCCAUUAUGAUCACUUUAUAAUGGAGUUUUAAUACCCACGUACACACAAAAAAAAUAAAGGAGAAAGAUAACAAAAAAGGAAACUUGGGAUAGAUACACCCAAGAAAAAAAGAAACCUUUCCUCUUGUUCUUCUUCCUUUGUUUCUCUUCUGUGUAGUUUGAUUUGGAUCUUGAAGUAUCAUGGAGCCAUUAAGGUAUUAUAUAUAAUAUGCGUUAUGAACAAAGAGAGGAAGAGGGAGAGAGAGAGAGAUCGUUGACUCCUAUUGUAAUUAAGCUGCUAGAUUAUAUUAGUUGGUUUUUAAUUUAGUUUUAGGUUUGAAAUGGUGAGGGCGCCGUUUAAACUUAUCAAAGUCACAACUCACAGCAGUUGAUCCAUGCAUAAUAGAUUACGUACGUACAUAGUAACAGUGAGUUGCGUGGUGCGAUCAAAACAAUAUUUUUUACGUGUACAUAUUAUAAUGAGAUUGAGUAUAAUUAGAUAUAGUCUACAUAGAUUUUUUUUUGGUAAAUAUAGUCUACAUAGAAUGAAAAACUGUUAACUACUUAUAAAAUGUAGCCAUAUCUAUUAACGAUUAAUGGUAUUACUAUCACCUCACCACGCUAACAAACUAUAAUUUUACGUGUUCAUAUUACACAGAACUAUGACGUAAUGACUCUACAUGUAUGGGAAAUUCGAGAUCAACCAAGAGAUCGACCGUCGAAAUAAUAACCAACAAUAUAAAACUAUUUAUAGAUUUAGAAAAGGUUAUUUUCCGAUAAUUUGCAUAUGUAUUAAAUUAUAUGUAAAAAAAUCAUAGAUUUUCAUACUCAAUAUAUAUAGGUUUAGUCGUAAUCAUAACAAAACCUGAAAUUCUAAGUUCAUAUAAUGAGAUUGAGUAUGAAUGGUAUUUGCUAUCAAUAUCAUGAAUGGAAUAAAUUAAACUUAAAUCAACAAACCAAAUAACCAAUCGUCCUAUAUUUUGCAUAGGAUGAGUGUGGUACCAAUUCUGAAUUUCUGAUCAUUUUUUUUUUUUGGCGUCUAGAUAUUUCUAUUAUUAUUUACGUAGAUUUCAAAUAUUUUAUAUUAAAAUUACUAGUAAAAAAAUAUUAUUGUAAGAAGAAGACAUUGUAACGUAAGCACAUGUUCUGUCUGAUUAGUUGGAUCUUUGAACCAAACCAAAACCGUGUUAAAUAAAUCCUGGCAAAUUUCAUUUGUAAUUGUACCAACUACCAACCUACCUUAUUAUUUAAUUUUUUGUUAAUGAUCAUAUCAUUAGAUUCUAUAAUAAACUAAAUGUUCCAGUUUGAAAGAACUCAAUUAUUCAUUUUUUCAUUUAUUUAAUAAUCUUGAUCAUUCUUGUUAGUUAUAUUACAAUUGGAAGUUGUAGUUUUACGUAGUCUUCUUAGAUAUAAUUUCAAACCUCAAAAUGAUUAGCCGUAUAAUGUCAAACAUUUGUAAGUAUAAUAUAUCAACCGGAAAACAAACAAAAACUGGAACCUUAUUGCAAUGCGAUACUCCAAUCAUUGAAUUUGUUCUUAACAUAAUUCAUAACAUAAUAAUUAUUUGUAUUUUUGAUAAUUGGAUUCUAAUUGGGGGGAAUUUCAAAAAUACCCAUUUUCCAAUACCACUUUUUAAAAAUACCUCUCUUUCUAAUUUUAUCAAAAAGUCACUAUCAAAUUUAAAAUUUAUCAAAACAAUAUGUGUAACCUUAUAUUUAUAGACACAAAUUAUCUUCAUAUAUGUGUAAAUUUAUAUAUAUAUAUAUAUAUAUAUAUAUAUAUAUUUCAUAAAUAUCGUAUAAAUACCUUUUAAAAUCAUUUAAAACCCUUAUAAAUACCUUUUAAAAACCUUAUAAAAACCUUAUAAAUGCCGUUUACAACCUUUUAAACCCUUAUAAAUAUUUGGUUUUAGUCUCCUCAUAGUAAUGAUGAUCUUGAUGCACCUUAUCAACCAUAUAAAAGUUUAUAAUUUUUCAUAUUUGAAAAUGGGUAUUUUUGAAAAUGGAUAGAAAGAGGGGUAUUUUUAAAAAUAAUUACACCAAAAGGGAUAUUUCUCAAAAAUUGUCUUCUAAUUAAGAAAAAGAAGAAAAAAAACGUAACUGGAUAAUGAUAUAAUUUAAUUAUUAAUAAAUCGGCUUGUAAAUAUAAGAGUAAUUUCUGCUAUCGAAGAGACGCUUUCAUAAACCCUUACGCGUUGUAUGAUUGAUUCAAUGCACCAAAAUCUUAUAAGGAAAACUUCUUACAAAUGGGUAAAGCUAGUGAUGGGCCUGAUGGCACAGUAUACCAUCCUAGUCCUCAGUGAUUCUUCUGUUCCUAUCAUGCCAACUACCAAGUUUCAAUCUUUGGCCCAGAAAGCUUAUUGACAAAAAAUUGUAGAAAUUGGUCAUUUACUUUUAUGAAGUAAAAGGCCAUAUCAAAACAGAAUAUGAAUUCGUGUUUUUGAGGGAAAACUACGGAAUUAUGUUUUUUUUUUGGCGAAAAAACUAUGAAAUUAUGUUUUUGGAUUAUGAAUCUAUAUAUUUGGUAUUAAAAUUACCAAAUAACAUUUUUUAUGGAAAAACGUAUUCACAUUUUUUUGACAGGAAAAUGUGAAGUUGUAUUCUUUCAAAAAAAUUGUGAAAUUAUGUAUAUGUCAUGAAAAAAUUAUCUAAUUCCCUAAAACCAUCAUUGUUGAGGGUCUCUUAACAAAUUUUAGAGCUAAGAUUUGUUAAGAAAUAACUUUUAUAUAAAGACCGUCAAUAAUGAUUUGUUAAGAGACCAUCAAUAAGAAUAAGAAUGGUCGAGGAUUAAUAAGUUUGUCUCUUAGUUAAUUCACUUAAUCACUUAAGCAUUGAUUCAAAUACAUGUUUAUGAUAUAUUGUGCUGAACUGGUCUCACUAUAUAUUUUCUAUUUCUCGUUUUCUAGAUCAUAUGGUUAGCUUAGCUUGUAUUAUUUCAAGAACUCUUUUUGUUUCCUCAUAUUAGGCAACAAACAAAAUAUUUUGCUCAACAAAAAUGCAAUCUACAUAACAAAUUUUACUUUUCGAUGUUAUGCAUUUCAUAUGGUCAGGUCCCAACAUAUAAUAAUUCAAAGAACAAAAAAGUGGUAAACAAAAAUUAAACAAUGAAACACAAAACACGUUGUACAAACGUUUUGGAUUUUAGUAUAUAGUAACUAAAUCAAUAUCUACAAAAUUACAAGAGAGUUGGCUAAUAAUUUAAACGAAGAAACACAAAACACGUUCGUAUGUUUUGUGAGACCCAGCGUGUACAGUCUAUGUAGCCAUGUGAUAGCCUUAUACGUGGUUGCUAAUUCAAGACCAACUAGUAUUUAAGCGACCCUUGUCUCAUCACCAUUUCAUCAAUACAAGCUUCUUUAACUCUCUACAUACAUUUUGCGAUCAAACAACCAAUCAAAAGAAAGAUGGAAGGCAAAACUUUGAUUGUGAGUGUCCUUGUUAUGAGUCUGUUCAUGGCACAAAUUCAAGUUGACGCAAAGAGUUGCUGUCCAUCCAUCACUAGUAGAAAUUUCUAUAAAUCUUGUUGCAUAGUAGGAUUUCCCAUAGGAAAGUGUGCAAAGCUUAGUGGCUGCAAAAUCAUUACUGGUACAACAUGUCCUAACGGAUAUUCAAAGGACAUUCUCGAAAACACAAGUAAAUAAAUUGAUUAAUAUUUUGUUUUUUUUUACGUAUGUUAUUUGUUUCACGAAGGAACAAGAUUUCAAUUUUUUUUUUAUGUGUUUUGAAUUAUUGUCUUAAGGUACUGAUAAUGUCGGCGAAUACUGCAAAAUUGGGUGUGUGUCCUCUGUGUGCGGUACUUUAACCACUCUCCAAAAUUCUGGUAAAACUAGUUUACCAAUCAAUUUUAUUACUACAAUCAUUUUUUUUUUUUUUUUAAUAAUCGAAAUAUAAUCAGUUCAAAUUUUGUUUGAAUGAUUAGAUGCAAGUGAAACCGUGAAAGGAGCAGUUGAAAAAUGUACCAACGCUUGUUCUAUGGUGUGCACCAAAAGCAGCUCAGUGAGUGCAGUUGAAAAUGCCUAGUGAACUAUAUCCAUGAUCAAGAUACCACGUAUGAAGAGACACUCAUCUUUCACACUGUUGUUUUCAUGUUUUCAAUAAUUGUCGUGUAUAUGACAAAAAUGUUAAAACUCUCAUGCUAGUUUAUGUACGUGCGUUAAAGGUUAUCAAUCUCUAGAUUGUAUAUGCCUUGCAUGUUAUCUUUUAAAAAAUAAAUAAUAUGUUUGUUUUCUCAUCUUAUUCUUUUUUUUUUUUUUUUAACACUGAAUCAUACGAUUUUAUUAAACCAAAAAUGUUGAAACAGACUAAUAAAACCAAUAAUAAAACAAGAGAUUCCAACUACUAUAAGCUUGCUCGUUUCUCUUGGAUAAUCUUCUCAUGCAGCCACGAAGGUCCACCUAAAGCAACAUAGGAAGUGAGUCGACCAUCUCUGGUAACACUCUGCGCAAUAUCUCUCACCAAACCAUUUGCCUUGACAGCAGACACUUGAAAGGAGAUCUCACUCAUUGAAUUAAGAACCCCAAAGAUCUUGUCCAAAAGAGAAUGGUAUUUGGGCCAGGCUUUCGGAGACGCCAGUGCUUCAAGAGCAGCUUUGCAGUCCGACCAAACCUCACAUGAAAGAAUACGAAGAUCCUUAAUGCUUUGCAAACACCAGAGAAUACAACUAAGCUCUGCAGCAAUUCGAUUUGUACGAGGCAGGAAAGCAUCCCGUGCGUGAAACAACACAUCACCAAGAUGGUUACGAAUUAUCCAAGCUCCUCCACAAAAAUCAUGAUCAGUCUUCCAAGAACAGUGAACAUUACAUUUUAAUCUUCCAACUGCAGGCUUAAUCCAUCGAUGUGAAAACGAAUUAGCUCGUAUACCCCCAACAUCUCUGUCCACAUUAUGGAGGUUUUGCUGCAAGAACCAUUCCUCGGCCUCAUUGAGAGCCUUAGCUAACAAAAUGUUGUGAUUCUGAGCUUGUCCUGCAAAAAUAAAACUAUUUCGUGCCUUCCACGUCUCCCAAAGAACCCAUGGAAUCGCAGCUCGUUGAGGCGCCGGUAAAUCCAUUCUAUCCAUUAAACUAAGGAGAUGAUCUAAGUUUUCUGGAAAACUCAAUGAAAACCCAUUCACCGGCAGUGGGAGAAAAUUAGAAGACCAAAUCUGCCUUGCGACAGUGCAUCGAAACAGAACGUGCGGAACCGAUUCUUCUUCUAUACCACAGAUUUGGCACAUCGGGUUAACAUGAAGACCAUGAGAGCGCAAACACUCAGCAACUGCUAAUGCACCCGAAAGAGCUCUCCAUAAGAACAUACGAAUUUUCUGUUCAGUGGGAAUAUUCCACACCCGACUUUUGAUCUUGUUUAUAUGGAGCUCAUGAUCCGUUGAUUGUUCCAAGGCCUCAGCCUCGCGGUUUAAAAACCAGUACCCAUUCUUUACUGAAUAUUGGCCAUUCACUGUGAAAGCCCAAACAUAACUAUCCUGGAGAUUAAUUGCAGGCGGGAAGGAACAAAUGCGAGUCACAUCAAUAGGCAAGAAAAGCGAGUGAAGUCGAGGGAUAUCCCAUGAACCAUCCAUGUUUAUAAGAGAACAAACUUUCAGGUUCAAAUCCAUGAAGAUCUCCUUAUUAACUGGACGCCGAGGAAGCUCAUCAAAAAUCCAUUUAUCAAGCCACACACUCGUAGAUUUGCCAUCUCCAAUCGAUUUCAUCACUCCUUUUUCCAGCAUUUCUCGACCAAAAAUUAUACUGCGCCACGCAUACGAUGGUCGAUAACCCAUUUUAGCCUCUAAGAAGGUUCUGUUUGGAUAAUAGAUUGCUUUAUAAACCUUGGCUAAUAAAGACGAUGGAGAGUUUAAAAGCCUCCAUGCCUGUUUUGCAAGCAAUGCUUGGUUAAACCAACCAAUAUCACGAAAUCCCAAUCCUCCUCUUUCCUUUGAUCUACAAACUUUCUUCCAAGCAACCCAAUGCAUCUUAUUUUUCUCCUCUUGGGCAUUCCACCAAAAUUGCAUCAUGGCACUUGUAAUUUGCUUACAUUGAUGUUUAGUCAACUUAAAGCAAGACAUUGCAUAAACAGGAAGAGCCAUGGCAAUGGAUUUUAACAAAACUUCCUUCCCUCCCAAGGAGAGUGUCUUUUCAAACCAGCCACUAAGUCUUGACUUCAAUCUAUCCGUGAUAAAGCUGAGAAGGUCUCUCUUUGAUCCACUAAAGCAUUCGGGAAGUCCCAAGUACUUACCAUCUCCACCUUCUUGUUCAAUACCUAAGACAAGUCCCAGUACCCGUCUCAUAUAAGGGUCGAGUUUCUUCCCAAAAGUGAUAGCAGAUUUCUGGAAAUUAAUCUCCUGCCCCGAUGCUUUACCAUACAGUUCCAGACAUUUUAAAAAUUCAGUGCACUCUUUGAAGGUUGCUUGACAUAAGAACAAACUAUCGUCCGCAAAAAGCAAAUGUUGAAUCGAUGGACAGGAAGGUGAAGGUUUCAUUCCUGUUAAACGACCGUCAAGCUCAGCUUUAUUCAUGAUAUGCACUAACGCCUCUGCACAGAGGAUAAAGAGGAACGGGGAUAGCGGAUCCCCCUGCCUUAGUCCCCUUUGAGGUUGAAUAUAUCCAUAUGAAGCGCCAUUAAUAAGAACAGAGUAAGACACCGAGGUAACACAACUCAUUAUCCAUUUCACCCACUUGAUAUCAAAACCUAACCGUAUAAGUAAUUCUUCUAAGAAGGCCCAUUCAACACGGUCAUAAGCUUUAGACAUAUCCGUCUUGAUAGCCAUGAAAUCUUCAUCACAACUACUAUUAGUUUUCAAGGCAUGAAUCAGUUCAUGUGCAAGUAAAAUAUUGUCAGAGAUCAACCGUCCUGAUACAAAAGCUCCUUGUGUGUCUGAGAUAAUAGAAGGUAAUAUGAGCUUUAACCGAUUACACAAAACCUUGGAGACAACCUUGUACAGAACCGAGCAGAGACUAAUAGGCCGGAGAUCAGUCAUCUUUGAUGGAUUUACCUUCUUUGGGAUUAAACAAAUCUGUGUAAAGUUCCACUCAGACGGUAAGGAACCUGAUUCAAAAAACUGUUGCACCUAAGAGAUGACUUGAGACCCAACAAUAUCCCAAAAAGAUUGAUAAAAAUUCCCCGUCAUGCCAUCAGCUCCCGGAGUACUGUCACCUCUAAUACUAAACACCGCCGCUUUAAUCUCCUCACUUAUCAAAGCAGAAUUCAUCUGAGCUGAAACCCGUGGGAGUAAACCAUCCAAAGCCUCAGAAAUUAGGGGUGGAGAGGAACUUGAAAACAUUUUGCGAAAAUAAUCAACAGCCACUUCCCCUUUGGAGCCUUCAGAAAACUGUUCAACACCCAUGUCAUUGAUUAGUGAAAGGAUUCUAUUCUGAACUCGACGUUGCUUUACACUCCCAUGGAAAAACCUAGUGUUCCUGUCACCUUCUCGCAACCAUUUUUCUUUACUCUGCUGCUUCCAAAAGAGUUCUUCCUCAUGAUAAGCUUCAACUAAUUGCCACCGUAGAUUUUUUAAUAACUGAAAAUCCGGUCUUAGUUUAGCUCCUUCUAUUUCAAGCUCAUUGAGCAGCCGUGAAAUAUUUUCUUGAGAGUUUUGGUUAGUCGCUUGCUUCCAAAGAGAUAUAGCCUUUCUGCAGUCCGCAAUACGGCUCAUUAAGGAGUAAUUAUUCAAGGUUGUCCCUUUAUUCCAACCAUCUCUCAUUAUCGCCGCAAAAUCCGGUUUCGAUACCCAUCUUUUCUGAAACAUAAACCUGCCUUGUUUUGAAAUGUUUUCAUUCACAAACCUUGUGAUGAUAGGACGAUGAUCAGAACCAAUUCUUUCCAAAUACUCAGUUUGAACCCUUGGGAAGAGAUGAAACCAAGCUGUGUUUCCGAGAGCCCUAUCGAGCCUACACUGCACCCAAACCUGAUUACGUUCCCCAGCCCAUGAGAAUUUAUUACCAAUGCUAGGGACCUCCCGUAGACGGCAAUCAUGAAUCAUAUUCCUAAAAGGAAAGAAGGAUGAUUCUGCCCGUGUUGGUCCUCCUAACUUCUCUGAGUUGUCCAUGAUUUCGUUAAGAUCUCCCAAGACUAACCAUGGUUCAUCUCUGGACACUCCUAGGCCUAUAAGCCUAUCCCAAACAACUUGUCGACGAUGUGUCACUGGAUCACCAUAAACACAUGAUACGAAGAAAGAUACCGAGCCUAGCUUAAUCUGAAUGUCAAUGAUACGGGAAUCAGCACUAAGGACCUCAACCGUAUAAGACGCUUUCCAAAACAACGCUAAGCCUCCACUUAAACCCACCAGAUCCACCAUGUAUGCAUGAUCGUAACCCAAGGACUGUUGUAACUUCACCACGUGAUCACUGGAGUUCUUCGUCUGCAGGAGGAACAGAAAAUCCGGAAAAUGUUCACGACGAAUUUUCCGUAGAAUAGGAAUUGUCAAGUUGCCCCCCAAACCUUGACAAUUCCAGCUCACAAAGCUCAUAAUUGAUUCGGCGGUUCCUCAUGUGGAACCACCUUAUCCUCAAUGCGCUUAGCGACUUUAGAUGUUAUUUGAUCUUCUGCAACAGCUUUCCUUUUAGAAGAUGACACCUCCUCCAUCUCCUUAUUAUCAGCAGGCUGACUUGUGACUGCACCUUCCCUUAACUUCUGAGCUUUACGCCUCCAUUGAUUUGGUCUUUUACGUUUCGACAACUGUUUUGGGUGCACUCCAUUUGAACCAGCUGAAAAACUUGCUCUCAACUCCGCAGAACCAAAAUUAUUCUGAGAAGCAGUAGCAUAGGUUGCAGAACGAGACUUCACUGGCUGAGAAAGCCGAGACAUCGCUUUACCAGAACGAAUAGCUUUGUUGACACAAUCCUCACCCGAGUUUGCCGUAGAACUAGCUCCUUCAAAAUUAAACACCAAACAUUUCCCUUGAUUAACCUCUGUGGUAAACUUUGUUGGAGCUUCAAGACGAAGAAUAGUCUGUUGACCAUUGGUAUCACCCUCCAAAUCCCAAACUGACUUCCUAACACGUUCAACAUGAAUCUUUCGCAACUGUGGAUCUGCAACUGACAAGUAUUGCCUCAUCUCAUCUAAAACUUCUUUGGCAAUUUUUGGCUUACCAGAUAUCGGAUCAAUUCCAACAUCGGCAUCAGUCAAAACUCGAAACAGAGGAUCAUCCUUACUUAUUUUCGGGACUAAACGACUUGGUAUGACCAGUUUAAUACCUCCCGUAGCAACAGUUUGCCGGUUUGAGGGAUUAAAUGGACAUCACUCUCUGUCAUGAGUUAAUCGUUGACACUGGUAGCAACGACGGCGAAUCCUCUCAUACUCCACUCCAAUGUUAAUCACCUCUCCAGAUGGAAUCUGAAGUUCUCUAAAGUUCUUUAGUGGUUUGUUUACGUCGAAAAGAACUUUAACCCUGACAUAACCCUUACUCAACGGUUUCAAGGGAUCAAAGGCAACAAGAGAAACUUGCCCAAUAUGCGCAGCAAUUUCCUUAAUUGUAUCAGCUGUGUUGAAAUUCACCGGAAUGUUGCGUAAUCGGAUCCAAAUUGGAAUUAUUUUCAAAUAAUCAUCCGGCGGCUUCUCCACCCAACGCUCCAAUGUAAUACUCCAAUCAUUAAAAGUCCAAGCACCGGUCUCUAGAACCGUAGUUAACUCGGACUCUGAAUCAAAGAAGAACUGAAACUGAUCCUUUGUUAAAGCUAUUCCUCUAGCUCUGUUAUACACACGUUACAAGCGAGGCAUUUCAUGAAUCAAAUCAGACAUCUUCUGAUUCUCAGGACAUAGUAGGCGACCAAUGAUACUACUCUUAUUUCGCAAAAAAGAGCUGAAUUGCGGAAGGUUUUGCAGCACGAUUGGUUUAUCAUCCUCGAUCGACAUGUCUUUCAAAGCUUUAUCCAACUCAUACUCCAUGGGUGCACUUAACGGCUGAAAAAGUAGAUAACUUGAACGAAUUCACCAGUAUGUUCAACGGCGGCUCUCAAGAACACAACAGAUUAGGGUAAAAAUUCAAAAGAUCUUAAAAGAUUUUGUCACAAAAGUGAUAAAAACAGAAAAUAUUCUCACAAAUCCGGCGAAAACAGAGAUAUUCCCGGUUUACAUAAGUUCUCCCUCAUUUAUUAGUUAUUAGUUUUAGUUUUUUUUUUUUAACACUGAAUCAUGAGAUUUCAUCUUAUUCUUUUUAGUUAUCGAAAUGGUGUUUCAAUAAGGAUCGAUCUCAUAUGAUAUCUUGAUAGUGUAUAAGCUACUUAAUUCUCACUAUAUAUGAUAUUGCAUAGUGAACUAGCUUUGUUGCUGCGUAUCUCAUAUCUUGAUAGUAUAAGCUACUUAAUUUAACUUAAGACUUAACCAAAUCAAAACUCCAAAAUAUUAGUUUCCACCCUAAACUUAUAAAAUUCCAUUAAAAUGCUUUAAUUUAUAUUAUUAUUAUUAGCAGUUAUAUUUGACAACAAUUCAUUUAUUUUUGCUCUAUUUUAUUACAAAUAUAAUUAUGAAUGGGAUAAAAUCAUACAAUGAAAACUAGCUAUUUAGGCGGACAUACGUUGACAUAAAGGGGUGCAUCAAUAUUAGUGUUAAUGUUAAUGAUUCGUACAUCAACCUAUCAACUCAUUAAGAUCCAAAUAGUAUAACCAUUUGUGUUAAUGAUUCGUACAUCAAUAUUAACCAUUACAACCCAACUCACAUAACACAUCAAUCCAGCGACUAAUAACUUAUUUUAACCCAUCAAAUAUUUUAGAUCCAAAUAGUAAAACCAUUAGGGUUAAUGAGUCACGUUACGAGGAUUGGUUCAUUUUUGACAGUUGUGGAAAUAUUUAAACACUUAUUUAAUUUCUUAGAUAGAAACUUUAUCAAUUUAUUUCAUUUUAGAAAAAUACAAUAAAUUUAUCAAUUUCUUAAUAUUAGGCAGCUCACAAAAUAUUUUCCUCAAUAAAAAAAAAAAUUCAAUCCACAUCAAAAAAAAAAAAAAAAAAAAAAAAAAAAAAAAGUUUACUUUUUAGUUAUCUGCAUUUAUAUACGGUCCCAUCAUAUAAAAUAAUUCAAAUAGAAAUUGAGAACAGAAAAGUGGUAAAAAAUUAAAAUUAAAAAAAUGAAACACAAAACACGUUGUAACAAACGUUUUGGAUUUUAGUAAAUAAAUAAAUAUCUACAAAACUAGAAGAGAGUUGGCAAAAAAUUAAACGAAGAAACACAAAACUAUUAUUUAAGCGACCCUUGUCUCGACAGUACCAUUUCAUCAAUACGAGCUUAAUUCUAACUCUUUAUAUACAUUUUGGAUCAAACAACUAGUGAAAAGAGAGAUGGAAGGCAAAACUUUGAUUGUGAGUGUGCUCGUUAUGAGUUUGUCCAUGGCACAUAUUCAAGUUGACGCAAAGAGCUGCUGUCCUGAAACCACUCCUAAAGACCUCUAUAUCAUGCUUGUCUCGCCGUGAAAGGUUCCAGAGAAAGGUGUGCAAGCCUCAGUGGCUGCAAAAUCAUUACUGGUACAACAUGUCCUAACGGAUAUAUCUCUAUAUUAGUAAAAGAGAAAUACAAAAUAUAAUAUGGGUCGGGUCAAAAUUAAAACAUUAACCCGAUUUUAACAAUUAGAUACUUCAAAAUUGGAUAUUAAAAUGGGUUUGGAUACAUAUAUCGGAUACUUUCCAUAUCUAAUUUUAAAAUUAUAUUACUUCCAUUACUUCCAUAACUAAUUUUAUGAUUUCCUAAUAAAUCUCUAAUAAAUCAAUUAUUAUUCUUCUUUAACUUUUAUUUGAUAUUAUUUUUAAUUUAUGAUAUUUUUCUAUAUAACAAAAAUAACUAAUAAAUUUUUUUUUUUGCAUAUGUUGCAAUUUGAAUUUUUCAAAACGGAUAUAAUACUCAACUACACUCAGUUAGAUAUUUUGGACAAUGAUUUUAAAAUCAGUAUAAGUAUGACCAAUAUUAAAACAUUUGUUACAUGAGCAUAAUUUAAAGUUUCAAAAUAUUAUAAUUAAAAGGUUCAAAUAUAUAAAAAUUUAGAAUUUAAAAUACUAAAAAUAUUUUGUUUGGACACAUAAUUUUUAUUGAUAAAAUAUAUUAUAUAUAAAACUAUGUAAAUUUUAGAUAGUUCGCUGGUAGUUUGUUAAAAUCACAAUUAUAAUGGUAAAGAGAGUUAUGAAUAAUGUUUUUUAAAAAAUGAAUUCUGUUACGGUUGGUCGUUCAAAAAAUAUAUUGUAAGUAUGUAAUUUUUACAUAUAUUCAUACUUCUACUAUAAAAAUGGUCAAAUUGAAUAAUUUGUCGAUAAAAUUAUUAUUUCGUGCUGUGAAAUUUUCACUGUUUUUUUUAAUUGUAUCAAAACUCAUUGUAUUAUUAUUUACUCGCUUUUUCGUUUAUUAUUUUAUUUAAACUUAUUACACAAAUAUAUAAUUCACCGUAAUCAAAUGCAUUGCAAUAAAAUUAAAAUGUGACAUAUUCUAAUCUAUUAAAGGUUAUAUAUAUGUAAUUAUUUCCCGGAUCCGAACCUAGUUUAAGUGACAUUCUCGAAAACACUAAUUAAUUGUUUGUUUUAUUUACGUAUAUUAUUUAUUGUCUUUAGGUACUGUUACUGUUGUCAGCUGCAAUGAUGGAUAUGUAUCGUCUGUGUGUGGUGCUUUAACCACUUUCUAAAACUCCGGUAAAACUAAUUUCUCAUACAUAUUAUUACUAUCAUCAACUUUUUUUGUUUCUAAAUUAUCCACAAAAAACAAUUCGUUCAAAUUUUGUUUGGAUGACUAGAUGCAAGUGAAAUCGUGAGUGAAGCAGUUGCAAAUUGUGCCAACGCAUGUUCUACUGUGUGCACCAAAAACUCAAUGAAUAUAGUUGAAACUGCUUAGAGCAUAUCCAUCAAUGAAGAUACCAAGUAACAACCGGAGAUGAAGGGACACUCAUCUUUGACACUGUUGUUUUUCAUGUUUUCAAUAAUUGUCGUGUAUGCGACAAAAAUGUUAAAGUGUACAUGCAUUUUGUUUUAGUUAUCAAAAUGAUCUUUCAAUACGGGUCUCAUAUCAUAAUAGUAUCAGCUACUUAACUAACAACAGUAGUGUUAAGGUUUUCUCACUAUACAUGAUAUAUGCCUAGUGAACUAGCCUUGUUUCUACGUUGUCUAUAUACAAUAUUAUAUAUCCUAAAUCUUACUUAGCCAACCUAUCAACUUAACCCAACUCACAUGACCUCAUCAGUCCAUUUUGACUAGUAACUUAUUUAACCCACCAAUUCUUUAAGAUCCAAAUAGUAAAACCACUAGCUAGGGUAAGGAUUGAUAAUUUUGACACUCGUGGAGAUAUUUUAACACUUUUUUCUUUAGAUAGAACAUUUAUCAAUUUAUUUAAUAUUUUAAAUAGUUCAAUGAAUUUACAAAUUCAUGUUAUUUCCAAUUUUAAAAAAUACUACUGUAAUAUGUUUAAAUUGUUUAUCUAAAUCAACUUCAUUGACAAUAGUUCAACAAAAGUAUAUCUGAACUCCAAAAAUAACGUCUUUAGUUUAUUUUUCUUCUCCAUAAUUAAACGCUUUUAAUAUAUGUCUUCUUUAGUAUUAUAAAAUUUAAUAAACUAGAUAACUAAAAUUCUUUUAAUAUAAGUUUUAAGUAUAAAACUAAAGCAUAUAAAAGUUUGAAGAAUCACUUUGUAAAUGAAAAAAAGUUAUCAUCACUCUUAAAAUAGCGUAAACACUAAUUACUUUACUACUCUAUAUUUAGAGUAGAAGUUAGAGAUGAUGCUCUUAACCUACCGGUUUUUAAGCCGUGACCUCACUCAAACACUUAAGCUUCCUAAAACAAAUAUAGCAAUCUGUCUUAAAACAUAAAAAUUCUGCUUUCUAGGAGAGAGCUAGAGAGAAACAAAAAAUGACGACACAGAAGAGAUUCAUCUUUGAGGUCGAGGCAGCUAAGGAAGCCACCGAUGGAAACCCUUCUGUUGGUCCUGUCUAUCGUAGUACUUUCGCCAAUAACGGUUUCCCUAAUCCGAUCGACGGAAUCCACAGCUGUUGGGAUAUUUUCCGGUCUGAAUCUCGUUUCUUUUUUUAUGUUUUCCCGACCAAAAAUGUGUAUUUGUGUGAUUAGGUUUCUUGUUACAUUGUUAUAUAUUUUGAAGGGUUUUUUUUUUUUCUAAUAAGUUUUGUUCGUAUGAAAAAAUAAUAUAUGAUCCAUGAUUGUUGCAUUAAUUAUCAUAUUGAAACAUGCAUGUGAUUGUUAUAAACGUACGUGUAUGGAUUAUGGAUCUUGUGUUUCAUCUUGUAGCACGGCUGUUGAGAAAUAUCCAAACAAUCGAAUGCUUGGUCGCCGUGAGAUUGUGAAUGGGAAGGUGUAGUAUUAUAUUUAAUUUAUUUGGAAUUUAGUGUGAGAUAUUGUGUUUUUGAUUUGAUAGUUUCAUUUUUUUUCUUAUUAGGCAGGGAAGUACGUGUGGAAAACAUACAAAGAAGUAUACGAUAUCGUCAUAAAACUUGGAAAUUCUCUACGUAGUUGUGGGAUUCAGGAGGUUAAAAAUUCAUAUUUGCGUGUUUUGUUCUUAUAUAUAUCUUUAAAUGUGAUUUUAUUGUGCCUUAAGUUUGUCUCUUAUAUGUAUAUAUCUGGGAAAUGUAGGGAGAAAAAUGUGGUAUCUAUGGUAUAAAUUGUUGUGAGUGGAUCAUAAGCAUGGAGGUAUGUGGAACUUUUCAACUCUGCUAAUACCUUUGAUAUUCGUCUACUAUGACUUGAUUGAUGGUGCACUUGUAAUUAAUGCAGGCAUGUAAUGCGAAUGGCCUCUAUUGUGUCCCUUUAUACGAUACAUUAGGUAUAUACUUAUCAUGUGUUUUGAUGAUCAUCUUUAUAGAGUCUUCUAUUGUAUUAUCAACACAAUCCGGUUUUCUUAACAUAGGUGCUGGUGCUGUGGAAUUUAUUAUUUCACACGCAGAGGUAUCAGUUGCAUUUGUGGAGGAGAAGAAGAUCCCUGAGGUAUCCUUCACAUAUUAUAUAUCUAUAGUGUACUAUAACUUUGUUUGUAAGUUUGUAUAUAUUCUCAUUCCUUUUAACUUUCAGAUUUUCAAGACUUGUCCAAACUCAACAAAAUAUCUGAAGAGUGAGUAAUACUAAGUGGAUCCAAUCAUCGAUCUUUUUCGUUUUAUAAUACUUGUGAUACUAAUGAUCAGUUUGUUACAAAAUGAAGCUGUUGUGAGCUUUGGCUGUGUCAAACCGGAACAAAAAGAAGAAGCUGAAAAAUUAGGAUUGAUAAUACAUUCUUGGGAUGAGUUCUUGAAGCUGGUAGGAGUCUUUUCCAUUUGCUUUUUUUUUUUUCUUUCUUCUAAUUCUAGAAUAUUAUCAUUACAUAUAAUAUGAUAUAACAUAUAAACUAUAUUUUUAUUGUGGUUACCUAUGACAGGGUGAAGGUAAGCAAUAUGAUCUCCCCAUUAAAAAGGAAAGCGACAUAUGCACAAUUAUGUAUACGAGUGGAACCACUGGUGAUCCAAAGGGAGUUAUGAUUUCGAACGAAAGCAUUGUUACUAUAACAACUGGAGUGAUGCAUUUCCUAGAGAGUGUUAACGCAACUGUGAGUUUUUUUUUUUUUACUUGGUAUGAUUUACACUGAAGCUAGCUACAAUGUUGAAGUUUUAGUUGUGUUAAAUUGUGGAAAUCAAAACAGAUAUCUGAGAAGGAUGUGUAUAUUUCUUAUCUUCCUCUGGCGCACGUAUUUGACCGGGCUGUCGAAGAAUGUGUUAUUCAAGUAGGUGGUUCUAUUGGUUUCUGGCGAGGGGUGAGUGAGUAUAUAACUCAAAUCUAAUCUUCCAACUAAAUGAAUUUUCAUUUUGUAUAAGAGUAUAAUAGUUCUAUAUCAUGUCCUCAGGAUGUCAAGUUGUUGAUUGAAGACCUUGGUGAGCUAAAACCAAGUAUCUUUUGCGCCGUUCCUCGUGUUCUAGAUCGAGUAUAUACAGGUAUUUGUUACUGAGCUCUCGUAUAACAUAUGUUGAUCCAGUUAGAGCAUAUUUACUAAACUUGGUUUCGUCUUUUAAACCACUUAUAUGUGAUUUAUUAUCUCCAACAGGACUCCAGCAGAAACUAUCUGGUGGUGGUUUCUUCAAAAAGAAGGUGUUUGAUGUUGCUUUUUCCUAGUAAGUCCUUUUUGUUUGUCACUUAAAACCUGAACUUAAAAUGCAUGUAGAUAUUUAACUAACUCACUCAAUCCUCUUCAGUAAAUUUGGAAAUAUGAAGAAGGGACAGUCUCAUGUGGCAGCUGCUCCAUUUUGUGACAAACUUGUAUUCAACAAGGUGAGUAAUCUCCAAAAAUAUCUGCAACUAUUUUGAGACUUCAACUCUUUUAUGUAAUCUCUCUCAAGGUUAAACAAGGACUUGGAGGCAAUGUGAGGAUUAUUCUAUCUGGAGCAGCUCCUCUUGCUAGUCACAUUGAAUCAUUUCUAAGAGUUGUGGCAUGUUGUCAUGUUCUUCAAGGAUAUGGUAUACCUCUAUACCCAAAAGAGAGUCAAUUAGAUAACAAUCUCUUAUCUUAUGAUUGUUUUCUUGGCUGUAGGUCUAACCGAGAGCUGUGCUGGAACUUUUGCAACGUUCCCUGAUGAACUAGACAUGCUUGGAACGGUUGGUCCACCCGUUCCAAACGUAGAUAUACGCCUUGAAUCUAUCCCGGAAAUGAAUUACGAUGCUCUUGGAAGUACUCCGCGUGGCGAAAUCUGCAUCCGUGGAAAAACUUUGUUUUCCGGGUAUUACAAACGUGAAGAUCUCACAAAAGAGGUUCUCAUUGAUGGAUGGUUGCACACAGGUUACUAAUUAAACACCACAUAUCUUUGAUCUUUUUGCUUUGCUAGCUAUAUCAUUGUCAAUGUCAGUUCUUCUUUACCUUAUUAAAUUUACUAUGUAUUCACCAGGUGAUGUUGGUGAGUGGCAACCAAAUGGGAGCAUGAAGAUAAUUGAUCGGAAAAAGAACAUAUUCAAACUCGCGCAAGGAGAGUACGUCGCAGUUGAGAAUAUAGAAAAUAUCUACAGUCAAGUAGAAGCUAUUGAUUCAGUAAGUUAUAUUGUAGCCUUUCUUUCUAUCGUUGUUAUAUUUCACGAGUUUCUAAGUCAAAACCAAUUGGCAGUAAGUAUAGUCAGAUCGAUGUCUUGCUAAUUUCAAGAUAUCUUGAUCCCUAUAUAUGUUUGUCUUUAUAGGUAUGGGUGUAUGGAAACAGCUUUGAGUCCUUCCUGGUCGCGAUAACUAACCCGGCCCAACAAACUCUCGAACGAUGGGCCGCGGAGAAUGGAGUGAAUGGAGACUUCAACUCCAUCUGCCAAAACGCCAAGGCAAAAGCAUUCAUACUUGGCGAACUCGUUAAAAUAGCCAAAGAGAAAAAGGUUUUCUUCUUUUUGUUCUCUUUCUCCUCUUUAAUUUUGAACUUUCUUUGGUUUUUUUUAACUCUCUGCUUUUGUAGUUAAAGGGCUUUGAGAUCAUUAAAGCUGUUCAUCUAGAACCACUGGCUUUCGACAUGGAAAGAGACCUUCUUACUCCGACCUAUAAAAAGAAGAGGCCUCAAUUGCUCAAAUAUUAUCAGGUAAUUGGCCGUAAUUAUAAUAUUAAAAACACAUUAGGCUUUACGAAGCUCAUAAUGUUUUCCUCUAUUGGUGUUAUUCAAACAGAAUGUGAUAGAUGAAAUGUACAAGACAACAAAGGAAGGUCAAGCUUCCGGACAGUAGUUUUCUUCUACUUAUCUAAUUCAUUCUUUCUUUUGCAUAAGACAUAGUUUAAUAAGUUUGUGUUGAUAUUUUGAGAUGUUACAUAUAUAGCAACUCGACAUGCUACAACAUGUCUUAGUUUUUACUUCCUUGAAAAGUUCCACAUAUGGUUCCAAAUUAACUUGGUUGGACACGUUGAAAUAUUUAUAAACAAAGAGAACAAAAAUAUCUUUAAUGGCUUUGAUAUGUAUCAUUGAUCCAUCUAUAGCUAUCAAUUAGGCGGGCCGUCCAUGCGUUUAUCCGGUCCACGUUGAUAUAUAUAAACAAAGAGAACAAAAAUACCUUUAAUGGCUUUGAUAUGUAUCAUUAAUCUAUCUAUAGCUAUCAAUUGGGCGGGCCGUUCAUGAGCUUGUCCAGUCUAGACUAUUAUAGAUGGUCCAUGGACACGCCCAUACAAAAGAUUGUCCAAUUGGACAAAAAUACCAUUUGUCUAUGGAUAUGAUAGACAAAACCAUAUGGACAAUGGACAGUCCAAUUUUCAAAAAAUCUUAAGGUUUUUAAUUUUGGAGAAAAUUAAAUUUUAUAUUUCUUAUCUAGAUGAGUUGAUUUGAUUUUAAAAAUGCCUAAAAUACACAUGCUUUCAUCUAAUAGGCACUUUCAAUCUUAAUGUUAGUCACACUAAUUUAAUUAUUGAUCUACAAUACACCUAAAUCAUUUACAAACUAAUAUUUUUGACAUUUAUAAAUUUCCAUUUUCAUGAAAACGUAAAAUUACGUUUUUGGCGGGAAAACAUAAUUUUUUCUUUUAUUGACGAAAAAACUUGAUUUUUCGUUUUUGGCGGGAAAACGUGAUUUUGCGUUUUUUUGGCGAAACAAUGUGAUUUUGAGUUUUGGUGGGAAAAUGUAAUUUUUUGUUGUUGGUGGAAAAACAUGAUUUUGCAUUUUUUUGGAAAAAACGUGAAUUUGCGCUUUUGGCGAAACAAUUUACGUUCUAAUUUAAAUUUUAUGAAGAGAAACAGAAAUAAUAAAAGUAAAACUAGAAUGUCCAAAUAGACAUGAUUUUUAUUGGACAUAGAUAUAUUUUAGAUCUAUGUUCAUUAUGACCGUCCAAAUAUAUCACAUAAAUAAAAUUGUCCAUUUGAACACAUCCAAUAGUUGGUGGACAGACCAAUUGACGGUUCUAGAACCUCGACCAUCCCGUUUGUAUCGAAAGCAGUUAAAGGAUACUUAUUACUUGAGCCAAAUGGUACAUUGAUAAAUAAGCACGUACGUAUGCUUCAGGAGCGAUAUCUACUAAACCCUAAUUCACAUCAUUUAACGAAAGAUCCACGAUUUCAAAAUAGUGCAUGUAACCUAUUAGUAAGAUAUAAUCUAUUAUGGAUCGGAUCACGUUUUGCUGGAUUCAGUCCACAAACACAUCCUGCACCAAUGUAACGAAGCGGCAGAUAAGUCUAAGGUAGAAGCGGUUCUCAAGAUACAUGUAUAUAUAUAUAUAUAUACACUAUAUACACUUAUUCAAUUCUUGUUGUUUAUACAUUUCCAUUUGGUUAACUGAAUCUAUUCAUCGUAACUAUAAUGUCUUAUAUCUUUCAAUCAAUAAAUAAAUAAACAAAUAUUUUCUUCAUAAUAUAAGACCAAAAAGGAAAGAGUCAGGGUAAGAAAACCCUUUUGGAGAGGAAACGUGACGUGGAAUGUCAUAAUUGAGCAAUGAACAGUUUAUGUGACCGUUACUACACAAACGUCAUAUGAUAUCUACAUAUUUGGUGUUACAGCAAACCGGACCGGACCAGAUCAAACUAACGAACCAAUACGAUAGGUGAUAGAGACAUUUUGAAGUAAACCAUUAGCAGAUCAUGAACAUAUAAAACUGAAAACUCUUAAUAUUAUUAGAUACUGAACACCAAUCUUAUUUACAACUUUUACUUAAGUUAGAUAGUGCUAACGACAGGUUUUGCUCAUUGGUUAGGUACCUAUUGUGUUUUUUUUUCUACUCAUCAAUAGGUUUAUAUGAAAGGAAAAUAAAAUUAUGAUUUUCUAUAUUUAAUUUCUUCCGUUCAAAUUAGUUAUCGUUUUAGAUUGUUUUACAUUAAAAAAUUCAAUAAAUUUAACUAUUAUAAUUUCAAGCUUAUUUAAUACUUAUUUAUUUAAUGAAAAAAAUAUAAGAUACUCUUUUAUUAAAAUGAUACUAAUAAUGAAAACAUAACUAAACUGAAAAAAAAAAAGAAAUUAGAAUAAAACUAUUUUCAAACGGAGGGAAUACUAACUUUUUUGUUUAAAAAGAAAAGUAGUUUGAAGAUUUUUAGAAAAUCAACUUUAGUGCAUAUAUAUAUUAUUAGCAUAAAGGGUCCGAAUGGUAACUGCGGUUUUCACUGCGGGAGAAGUGCGGUACGGUUCAAAUAAUAACGAAAAUAUAUAGAUAUAUAUGUAUAUGUAGAUAUUUUGACACUGUUACAACACUGUUGCGGUGCGGUUUUGUAGUGCGGUAUGGUUACCAUUCGGAGCCAAAGUUGACCAACGAAGACAACAGAAACGCAUUUUGGAUUUGCUGGUGGAUCAUUAUACUUAGCUGUAUAUAUAUAUAUAUUCCAAGUAGCAAUCCUUAAAAGAGAAAAUUCCAAGAAAGGUUUUUAUAAAAAAUCUUGUACCUAUCCGUUUCAUAAAACUAAGCAUUGUUGUCAUUAUUUCUUCCUUUUAUUUGUGUGUUUCUCUUUUUAAUUUGAGAGCUUUUAUGAAAUACAUAUGCAAGUUGAAGAAUAAAUAUGCAUGCAAGUUAUCAAACAGACGUGUGUCGUUGUGCUCGUAAUAUGUGUCCGUUAGUGGACGGACCUUCACUCGCAUGCAUAUGAUGUUUCUUUUUGUUUAUUUCCAUGAUACUUUAUAUUUAUUAUAAAUGCGUUAAACUAUAUUAUUCGACGUUUGAUGGAAAAAAAAAAAAAGGGUAUUUGCUCAAUCAACAACGUUUGGGUAUUUUGUAUAUUUUUAGAUCGUAAGAAUAGAGAUUUUUGAUAAAAUUUAUUAUAUAUACCGUCGACGUUUUACUGGUUUAUAAUAAGUUAAUUGAUUAUAAAUUUUAUAACUCUUUUUUAAAAAAUAAAGUAGUAAGUUGAGUGAGACUUGCAGAAUUUUGUAAUAUCCAUACAUACGUAUUAUGUAGUAUAUAUUUGUCACUUAUUUAUAUGUGUAUAUGUAACCCUUUUAAGCUUUAAUUUUUUUCUUUCUCAAAGUUAUAUUUUUAUGUCUGAAAACGCAUGAUCAUCUCUAAAAACAUUUAACAAAAAAUUUCACAAUAUUAUAAAACUUACACGUAAGUUUCCCGAUACUUGUUUGAUUAUAAUUAAAUGUUGUAUAGAAACGUAACGAUUCUAAUAUCUACAAUAAUUUUGAUUGUGUCACAAAUUCCAUAUAUAUAAAAAAAAUUUGGUUAGAAGAACAUAGGAAUCGAUUUUUACCUUUUUUCUUUUUAUAGGAAUCGAAAUUUGUAAAUUUGUUAGCCUAAUAUAAUAGUGGACGACGCAUUACUGCAUUAGCCUGAUAUGGCUAAAAGAUAUGCAAUGUUCCCACCGACCCUUCGACGAUGGAUUCGAUCUCCAAUGUUUCGAGUUAAAGAAGUGUUUAUAUAGUCUCAGACUCAGACCACUUGACUAGUAGACAAACCAAAGUAUAAAACAAAGAUAUCUAAAUAGUAAAUAGCCAUCACAUUUCACAUAUAUAUAAAUCACAAACAAUGCGGUCUACCAAGGUGUCUAGAUUACGUUUUCUAUUUAAAUCCUUUUCUUACUCCACACACACAAAAAAAACGUAUCAGAAGUGGCAAUCUCUAGACCGUCAUUUAGUUUAUUUUAUUUUAUUUUUUCAUUUGUGUCGUUAUAAGAUAUAAUAGAAAGAAAGAAAAAAAGACACGACAAGAUAUAUAUGUAUAUAUACAGAAGCAUGUGUUAGGUAAUAUAAAUCACUUUUUUCUUUGCUCACUUCAACGGAUGUGUUAAUUCUUGAAAGGUUUUAGUGGAAUCAAAAAUAUCAUGAAAUCGGACAUUACUAUACCCAUAGUGGCCGAAGAUGGCGACUGCAGCGAGAGUAAGCGAGUAAGAGUUACUGAUGAUCCGGGAUUAACCGUCGGUGGCGAGGACAGACCUGUGAAGCUACCAAAGAUCCAAGAUAACGGUACGUAACUAGUUAUGUAAGCCUCUAGUUUUGCUUCAUUUCUAGUUUUUGAUCAAGAGUGUUUGAAAUCUAAUUUAGCACAAGACUAUUUUUUUUUUGUUUUAUGAUAUAUAUCUUCAUGUCAUAAGAAUUAAAAUGUCAUUCUAAAAACAAGAAAAAAAUAUAUGAUAAAUUAUUAAAGAAUAUUUUUAUGGAACCUAAGACUAAAUCUUUUCUUAGUUAUUAACUUAAGACAAAAAUUUAAAAAUUAAACUAGUAGUUAAUAACUUGUGUUCUUGGUUAUUUUAAGAUGAAAUUUUGUUUUUGGUUUAAUAACUUGAGAAAACAUUUUAUGCUUAAAAAAACAUAUUUACUUUUUAAUUUAUUUUUUGAAUCUUAGCAAAAUAAAAGUAAACAUAACUUUGGUGUAAACUUUUUUUUUGUCACAAUCGAAUAUUUUAUUCAAACCUUCAAACGAAGGAAGAGAAAAAAAAUAUGAUCUUCUACGUAUUUAGGAGAUGUUGGGACAUCAGGAGGAGGAACACACGUUGUUGUCGAUGCACUUAUGGCCGACGUGGCGAUCAACGAUAAAGACGGGAAAACAAACGCCGGACAUGGAGUAGUCUCAGUCAUGGGACGGCAGAGAGCUAUGACAACCGCUGUUUCCACCGUCGUCGACGAGAUACCGUCUUACGACAUUUUCGGAAUCUUUGACGGUCUUAGGCUGGCUAAAUUCUUCGAGGACAGGCUGCGUCGGCUCGUGAAGGAGGAGGUGAAAGCAUGCCACGGCCGUGGAGUGGCCGCGGACUGGAACAAAGUUAUGAGAUCUUGUUUUUCCGAGACGGUGGGGACAGUUGGAACCACCGCGGGAGAAGCGGUGGUUACAAUUGUAGGAAAAGAUGAGGUGAUUGUGCUCUGCCGCGGUGGCGCAAGGGUGGUUCUUUACUCUCACGGCGGAGUAGCUUUGCCUCUUUGCCAUAUUCAUCAUCACAAGGUAAUUAACUUUUUGUUGCAAUUUAAACUCAUUAAAUUGUAUAAUUUAUAAAAUGUAAUAUUUCUAGGGUUUUUUAUUUCGUUAUAAAAUAUUUUUUGUAAUAUAUAUAUUUUUUUAGAAUGGUGUGGAUCAAAUCUUGAAGAUACAUAAACGAAAAAAGAUAGACGAUUUCAUAGUACUUGCAUGUGAAGGCCUUUGGGACGUUGUCUCCGACAGUGACACAUAUCAGCUUGUCAAACGUUGUCUCUACGGCAAAGUACCAGACGGGUUAGUGCCUAACUUAUGUAAUUGUAGAAUUAACAUAAUUACUAUACCUAUAAGACUAAUUAAUAUAGAAUCUGAUACUUGUUUUUGUUUUGUCCUUGUUUGAUAUUAUAUGGCAGAUGUGAAAGUGAAUCAAGCACGACGAAGGCAGCAGUGAUACUAGCAGAGCUUGCAAUUGCUAGGGGAAGCAAAGAAAACAUAAAUGUUAUCGUUAUUGAUCUCAGAAGCUCCAAAGUUUCCUAGUUUUUUUUUUUCUUCUUAGUUCACGAUUCUAAAUUAUUAUUAUUAUUACUAGUUUUGUCUUUCAAUUAAAUUUUUCGAUUUUAACCUCUUUUCUAUCAUUUGUUUCUUUUUUUUUUUUGUGUUAUUCGAUUAGUUUUUUUUUUUUGGUUUUUUUUCUUUCUGUAGUUUUUCACUUUUUUUUUAAUAUGAAAUUUGCUUGAGAGUUUGUUUCUCACAGUACUCCUGCUUUGUCAUUCUCCUCGGUGACAAGUUUUUAUUUAAAUGUAUUAUAUAUAUAUAUAUAACUUUUAGAAUUGAAUUAGAAAGUUUGUAUACAGCACUAUUGUAGCUGAGAAAAUGAUAUGUAAAAAUAUACAAUGCAGAAAACAGUUAGCAAAAGGUUUCUUUGAUAUUUGAAUUAAUACUACAAAAAAAUGAGAGUCAAGUAACAUAUCCAAUUCGGAUUUUCUGACUAUUCGGUUUGAACAAGUGCUAGAUUUGGAUUCGUUCUAGCAUCACUUUUGUUGAACCAAUAUAUAUAUGCUUCAUGAUAUAAUAUUGGUUCAUGACUAAUUGUUAGAUUUUGAUCAGGGCCUGCCGUAACUGAGUUCAUUGGACUACUUAUUAACGUACAAAACAUUAACUUAGAUAGAACAUAGAAAAACUUAAGGACCAAACUCAAAAUAAAGCAGUAAAUGUAAACAUGAUAACAUUUGGACCGAUAAGGAUCGACCAAUGACCAUUACCAAAGAUAAACAGAAACAAGCUUUCUUGAAUUACAAGAAAUAUUAGUCCUAGUUUCACAGUCUCAAAUCUCUCUCUCCCUCUACUUGUUUACAAACUAGAGAAUACAUGUCUUUCUCAUCCUCCCAAAAAUCUAACCACUCGGUAUAAUUAACUAAACCGAAUAUUCCCAAAAGCAUGGUGAACAAGCUUACAAGAAAGUAAACCGGUUACACACACGUUACGUAAACACUUCUACACAUCACUCCAAAGAAUAGCUAGAAACCAAGACAUUUGCCGGAGAAGCUGAGUGUAUAUAGACAAACUCCAUGCUUUUUCCUGCCGGUAACGAUUCCAUCCACGAGGGGAAACCAUACGAGUUUCCUGUUUUGGUCACACCCCAAAUUGGACCAUAGAGUUUUGUGAUUGAUAUCUUCAAAUUUUUCAACGUUUUAGUAGAUCUAUUGGUUAAUCUCGUUGAGUAUCUAUAGUAAACUUUUCCCUCGUCCUUCCAUGAGCUUGUCAUCUUUUGUGAUAUGGUAAUGGGACUAGAAGAAGAAGCUGCUAAACAAAACAUAGAUUAAGCAAAUUGGUUAAGUUUAAAGUUAAUGGAAUAAAAUGUUUGAUUCACAAUUGGUUUAGGUAUAAGAUAUCUAAAGAUGACAAACCAGGAGGUGUUGUGGGUUUCUUUUUCGGUACCGGUGCUGGUUUUAUGAUAACCGGACUUGGACUCGGACUAACACCUGAAAUCAGAAAUUCGGUCAGUACUAACCCGGUUAACCAAGUUGAUUAGAAAUUGGAAAGUCCAGUAUUUUAUUGUUAGAUAGUUUUGUAAAACUUUUAUAAAUUAGUAAUAUCGGGCUAUGAUAUUUAUUACUUUAUCGAGUUAUUAAUUUAUCGAUAUAUAAAAAGAAUCGAAAAUUAAAUUUGGAAACAAGGGAUAUAUUGAUUUAUCGAGUUUUAAAUUUUUUACUAUGCAUAAAUCUUACCGGGAAGUUGCUGGUUAAAAUCGGUCGGACCAGAAAUUAACCGGGCUAGUACACCAAGAAAAGGUGCGUUGUUAUACGUUGCUGGUUCGGUUUGCUCGUAGUUGUCCCGUUGGUCAGCGAAGUUAUCGUAUGCGUCAGGUCCACCCACAAGAGCACCGGUCAAAACAUUAGGAUCGUUUCCUUUUCGGCUAUACCAAGUGGCGUAACCACCACGACAAGUCACGAACUUUUGAUCGACGUUGAAGGAGACAAUUGAUGAACCACGGUGAUGGACUUGUCGUGGAUAGUUGUUUCCGUAUCCGACCAUGUAACUCGUCGCUCUAGGGUUGUCUCCAAGAAUGUAAUCAACCUGAUUCAUUUCGAAUUAAUUAAUCAUGUAUUUAAUUUACAUAGAUAUAUGUGUUAAAUUAUGAUUUGUUAUGAACUUCCAACUCAAAACCAAUUGGCAAUGAGUGUAUUGACCCUAACUCUUUAUAUAUUACUUAAGUCCCAUCACAUCUUCCAAUGUGGGAUAUUUUCUCCACAAUAUGUCCCAUUUUGUUAUAUUUUUAUUUAUUUAACGGAUAUUAGAAUCCAUAUCCCAAUUACCCAAUCCAAAUAAGUUAGAUUUUGACAAAUGGUAUAGUAGUAGGAGAUUGUAAUUUUUAAAAUCGAAAUAGGAUUAACUGUACUUUUGUUAUUUUUGUAGUGUUUUAGUGUUAUGAAAUUUUAUUUCUAAACUAUUAACUUUUGACAUUUAGUCGCGAUUUUCAGUCCAAUUAAUUUCUGUAAUCUGAGUAUUUUUAGAUUUAAUUUUUCCGCCCUACCUAUUAUACCUACUCCCAAAUAUCAUAUUUGGACACUAGAAUCAAAAUUUAGUAUUGUAUUUACAGUUUCAAAUUCAAUUAUAGACUUUAUAGACUUAUAGUGUUAAUUUGGUUCUAUAUAUUGGGGGUGAAUCAACAAAUCAAGAAAGUUUUGGGGGCAAACCUGUGAUUUAGAAAAAUCUAGGAGUUUGGAUGGAGAAACGUUUCCUUGAGAACAACGUAGAUCUCUUUUGGAAGACGAGAGAUAGUCAGAGUAGACGGCGGCUAAGAAAGAAGCACUCGUGACAAACUGCAUAUUAUUCCAGCUCUGUCGGAAAAUCAAACCGCCGGGAGUUUUCUUUAUGUUCUUGGUGCUUUUACCUAACAACGAACACAUGUACUGUUCUGCUUUCUCUUGGUACCUCUCGAACACGGCCUUGUGUUCUUUGGCUUUACCUUGCAUCAAAACCUAUAAACCAAACAAAACAAUCUCGGUUUAGUAAAACCAAUUUACUUAAACCAUAGAAAACCGAAAAGUAUGGUUAAAAUUGAAGUGUAUUUUACCUUAGCGACAAGGGUUUGAACGCCAGCAUACUUAACGUCCCAACCAAAUUCUGAAAUCGACCAGCUGGUACCGCCCAUCGAGUCGCCGUUCUUGCCGAGGUAAUCUAGAUAAUAUUUGUCAUUGGUUGCUUGGUAUAACCAUGCAGCAGCCCAUAGUAACUCAUCCUGGUUAUACAAAAUCGCGGUUAUAAUGAGAAUUCAUGGAUUAAUGUAUACUUCAAUUAUAUAAGAGUUUUUGUUUUUAGAGUAUAAAACUAGUGUUUAGUACAUUGUAACCGCUGACUGAUCGGUAGAAUUUUUGUGCCACGGUAAUGCUGCUAUCGUACUUGCCUCUGUAUUUGUCCGCAAAUUCAAAUAGCUGCCAACAUAAGAAUUGGUUUAGGAUAAUAUAAGAAGGUUGUUUCUACUAUCUUCAAAAUGUUAUUUAUAGUUCUUUCUAUUGCAAUCAAACAUUAGGGAAGGAGUUUGCAAAUUGUACAAAUUCAAUUUAAACAAUGUGCUUAACCAAACUCGAUUUUAGUAAACCGGAAUUUAAACUCGGGUUUUUUAGUUAUAUUCUGUUUUGGUUAGGGAUUUAAGAACCUGAUGGGCGUGACGGAGUAGCUCGGCUGAGUAUGAUGGAUCAGAGCGGCGGAAAACGAUGGAAGCGGCAGCCAUUGCGGCAGCGGUCUCUCCGGCAAGAUCCGAACCGGGAUUGUUCCGGUCAAUCUUGUAAGCCCUACGGUCAGUGGUCAUUUCCUCUGGCCUUUGCCAACAAUAAUGGUCUGACUUACCAUCUCCCACCUAGACGGUUACAAAAUAUUUAUCAUAACCAAAUUUGCAAAUUAUGUAAAUAGAGUAAUUAGUAUAACUACUAAAGUAAGUGAUUAGAGUGUUAAUUAUUUAAUUUGUUACCUCUCCAUAGAGGACGUUAGGUUCAGGGUGGGCUUUAAUGAAAUAAUCAGUUCCCCACUUAACAGCGUCCAUGGCAUGGCCAAGUUCGCCGUUAGAUUGUAGCUGGCCACCGUAUUCAAUGAUGCUCCAACACAUUGUGGUCACCGUGAAAGCCAUCGGAAGCCCGAAUUUCACAUUGUCUCCGGCGUCGUAAUAACCGCCAACUAGAUCAACCUGCUCAUUGAUUUCAAAAUGUGUUUUAAAUUAAUUAAUAACCAUAUUGUAGUAUUAAACAAUGUUUUUUAAAAACAGCUUUUUGUAAUGACGUUUUAGGUGGCCAAAACCAUCCAAACGUUUAGAUUUUGAUCAUAUUAGUUAAAUAUUCGGGUCAACGGAAAGUCAAAUCGUAAUAUGGAUCUAGAUUCUAUAGACAGCGUUUAAUAUAUUUAUAAAUUGUUAUACAUAAAUAACUAUAUGUUAUAAAAUAAUUGGGAAUAAAUUCUGAUUAAUUAACAGAGAGUUUUGAAUAUUAGUAGUAAUUAAUAUCAUAUAUGAAUUUUAAAGUAUUUUAUUUUUUUAAAAUGUAGAGCUUACGCCGCUUGAUUUGCCGUCGUAAAGACCAGAAUGAGAUCGCCAAGAAACUCUCUGGUUGGGAGGAAGGUGUCCUGAUCUUUGAGCUUCAAAGAAGAGAAUGCUUUUGCUCAAAGCUUGUUUAUAGUCAUGCCCUGAAACUGCCAGCUGAACCAACCCAAGAAGAAGAAGAACAAGAACCAAAAUGGUGGUAGUACUAGAACCCAUUAGAUAUAUACGUAUCUUUAUGAAAUUAUGCAAGAAAAAGUGAGAUCCUCUUAAACCAACUAGACUCAAGAGAUUAGUUUGGUCCUUCUUGGACUUUGUUAACUUUAAUUUAUGGGAUCAUUCAUCAAGACUUUGAUCCUUUCCUAAACAGAGUGAGGAGGGAGAUAAAGAGAAGGUUUGGUGAAUGAAGUUGAGAAAAAAAUGAGGUUUAUAUUGAAGAAACAAGAAAGUGAAGGAAGGUACCAGGAGGAGAGAAAACGGCAGAGUUAAUAUAAUAACUCUUUUAUUUUUGUUUUUGAAAUUUCAAAAGUAUAAUAUAGUUUUAGUCUUUUAUGAAUGUGACAACAAUGUGUCGGCAGGCAAUGUUCAUUUCUAAUUUUGGGUGAAAAAUAGCUGAAAAAAAUAAAGAUUAUUAUUAUUAUUAUUCUCACAAUCUAAUAGUCAACUAAGAGUCGUCCAUUUCUAUACCAAUCUUGGUGAAUUAAUUAACGAUCAAAAAAUUUGAACAAGAACUAAAACAUGUUUUGUAAGUGCAAGUGAUCGAUCUUGUACAUGUGUUAGUAACUUUGUCUUUUAGUAAGUAGAACAAAAUUUGAAUCAUUUUUAAAAUAUGACCAUGAUAUGAUAGUUGUCUUUUCCACCCGUUACGGAAGCUCCGAAUCUUCCAUGCAAUUAAACAAAUGACAUAAGAAUAAUAUCAUUACCUUCUUUUUUUAUAUUCAAAGUCAAAAACCAUAUAAAUUAUACAUCUAAUUAAUUUUUUCUAACUCAGAUCUUAAAUCUAAAUCCACUCUCCAGUUGUACAAGCUCAUUUAUCCAAUGGCUGAGGGGUUAACAUUUCUAAAUCAAGUAUUGAGUUUGAUUCUUAAGGAAACAAAAACAAAAACAAAAACUAUUUACAAACAGAAUCAUCCGUCGUAGUCUUGAAUAUCAAGAAUAGGAUUAAGAUUGGCCUUGGCAAAUACAUGUAAGAAUCAUCAAUAUAAAAUAUACAAAAUUACAACGAAAAUUAUACGUCGUUUAAUUGUUAGUAGAGUCCUUCACCAAAAUCGCAUAUGUUAUAUGUAGGUAGAUCCGAUAAAUUGAUCAUCAUAUGCAAUAAAAGUAUUUAUGAUGAUAAUGUAUAAAUAGAGGAUAACAAAAGUUUUUGGCUAUCUAUCGAAAAUUCAGUUGUCUAUCUUUUUAAAAAAAUAUAUAUCCACUCUAGGACAUUUUUUUUUUGUAAAAAUGUCCACUCUAAGACAUGGUAAUGAAAAAAAAAACAUAUCCACACUAAAACUCCAAUUUCAGAAAAGAUUUAUAAAAAUUAUCACACAAAACAAAAAGAGAGAUUCAUAUAAACUUUUUUUUGGUUAUAUAAUAUGAGUAAAUUUGAGUGGAAUUUAAAUUACCAAAAUAAAUGCCGAACAGUAGUAAGACCAUGGGGACAAAAAACAAACACUAGACGCUCCGAAUUCAGUUCUUUAUCCCAAGAAAAACAAUAGUAUAAAAUUACAAUGCAGUCAAAUAUAUGUCAUAUAGAUAAAUUUGUGAAGAAAAAAAAAAGAGAGGAUGAAGAAGUGAGAUAGUAAACGGUGGUUGAGAAAAGUCAUAAGUGCAUAAAUCUUGUUUGAGUUGGGAUGUCCCAAAUCACAAUGAAUUGUCUACCCAAAGCAUAAGUUGUGUCUUUUUUUUGUUAUUUGGGUUUCGUAAAUAUGUAAACACUAACAUGAGAUGUGGGUUGAGAUUGGGUGUAUAUGCACGCAUUGGGGGGAACCAACCCUGUUGGCAACUAUAAGCUCGUAAUUUAUUGAAACAGCGGUGCCUUUUGAUAUAUUGGUGAGAGAGUUGGAUGAUUUAUCUCCAUAUUUUUUUAUAUAAAAAAAUAGCAUAUAGUUUUGUUUCAUUAGCUUAUGAUUUAAGCAAAUCACACAUUCAUAGUUGUUUGAAUAGUUUCUGUAAUAGAAGUUGUCAUAUUGACGAUGAUCUCAUUACCGUAUAUAAUUGUUUUCAAUUAAAUUUUUUUUUUUUUGUAAUUUAAGAGUGAUCCCAAAAGCUUUCUAGUCACGAAGAUUAAUCUUUUGAAAUCGGAAAAAACCAUGUUAAAUCUCGAAUCCCGUGAUCAAUGUUAUUCGAACCCAAAUGGCAAGACUUAACUUCUUUUCUACUGAAUCAAGGCGACUUGGUUUAAGUUUCUGUCCUAAAAUGAUAAGUUCCACAAAAUAUACUUACAAACUGAUAAAAGUUUGAGAUAUGAAAUAAAAAUUUGAGUCCACUUGGCUCCACCUUCCCCACCGGAGUUUAACUUCACUAAGUUGCGUAGUAGUUUGACAUCCAAUUCAAAUAUUUUUGUUGCACGUGCGGUGACAUCUGUUCGAGAGAUUACUAUGAAGCAUGUGACAAAUGGGAUCAUAUUAAAAAUGUUGUAUUAUAGUUUUACGUAGUUUGAAUUCGUUUUUAAAUCAUAAUCGAUAUAUAGACUGAUUUAACUCUUUCUUUAAUUGGUUCUUGUACAUUCGACAUAAGAAUCUUAUAACAGCAAUAUUCACAAACAGAAGAAUCCCUAGCUAGUACUUCAAAUAAUUUUGAAGUUGAUUUCUCAUUACAAUUUUUAUUUAAUAAAUAUGUAUGAUAUAUAUUUUGAGUUCGUAAACUAAUUAAGAAAAUUAAUUAAACUAUCAUGAGUUAAGUUGAAAUAAUAAAAAUUUAAACAACUAGCUAGAGAUGAGACUAUCGUAUUACGAUGUAUAUAACAAACGAACAAGAUUUUUCUAUUAGCCACAUUUUUGUUGAUCUUGAUUUUGGAUCUUCGGUUUAGAAAAUAAUUAAUUAUGAACGUAAAGAGUACUGAAACAAAAAUAUCAGAAAGUUCUAAUUUGAGGCUGUCAACAUACAAACAAAAAUAUAUAAUAUAUAGAAUUGGGAUUACUCAUGCAUGCAUGGUCACAUGAACGCAUGUGCCUACCGACACUGUUUGAGAUUGAUCCCUUCGUGCGUGGACUCACGUGAUGCUUUCUUCAUCACUCAACCUUCAUUUUUAUUUUGAUAUUAGGAUUGUGACAGCUUUCAAAACUUUUUGAAUUAAGAGACAAAACAAUCCAAACAUAUAUACAUCAGAAUUAAGUAUGGAACUUUCUUUCGUACAUUUGAAAAACUAUAUUGGUUUAGGGGAUUUUUAAAAGUAUGAAAUAGAUACCUUAUUGCUUUCUGGGUUUAUUUGAAUCAAAACAUAAACUAGGAUAUGUCCAUAAUAAACAAAUCUAACUCUAUAUAUAUAAUCUAUCUAUUUUACUUUUUUCUAACAAUUUGUUUUCAUUUAUCGGAAAAAAAACAAAGUUUAAAAAAACCAUGGAUACUAAGAUAAUAAGGUAUAAAACACAAUACAAACACCGUAUAUAAGCUAAAAAAACAAACACCAAACAAUAAACUAUGUUAAAAAUUUUAUAUUCAAAUUAAAAUAAAAUAAGCAUAGUCUAUAUUGUAUAUAAUAUUGGAUUUCAUUUUGACAUUACCAAAUUCUUUAAGAAGGGAGUUUAGAUGUACGCAAGUUAUAAUACUUUAUUAAACAUUUUAUCAUCAUUCACAUAUUUGUUGUCAUGUCCCCUCUGAACCAAAAACAUGGAAGGGUGGAGUUACGAACUAAAAGUGCACUAUUCAUUUGCUUUCACAGUUAAUUAAUAAUGUGUGCCAAGAAAUUAAAUAGACCAAAAUUGAGAAAGGAUCAUUGCAAUUGAAAUGAACAAACAUAGGUGAAGAUGUUUGAAGGGAUAAAUGUCUAAGAACUUGCAAAUUUGCUAACUCUUUCUUUGUGCGGGAGAACAUAUCACAUCUCAUAGCGUCGAGUCAUUUGGUAUUUAGUUUCCCACCAAUUUUUUCUUCACAUUGAGCAGGGAAGUGAUUCUCCUUCUCACAAAUGAUGACCACAAAUAGUACACCUAAUAUCAUAGAUGUUCAAUCUCCUCAGAAAAUAUAUAUAAACACGUAAUCAAAUAAACAUCAGACCCGUAAAAAGAAAUCAUUGAAUAAGAUAGAGAGAAACAAACCUUUUGGCAACUCUCUUAAGAGGAGACAACAAAUUACAGAAAAAAAAAAAAAAAAAAAAAAAAUCUCCAGUAAUUGUUCAAGAAGGGGUUCAACGAAAACCUAUUAUUCGUGAUAAGUGAGCUACGAAUUUAGUCUAAAUUAAAUGUUAGUGUGGAGAAGAGUAUAUAGGUAUGUUUAAUUCAAGCUUAGGUAACGGGUAUACUUGCAAUCAAGCACCUAGUUUAUAUCAAGUGAUCUUCGAUGUACAACUCACUUCAAAAAUCGAAACCCAACCCAAGUCCGUUAAGAACAUCACUUGGUCACAUUGCUUUGGGCCUUCUAGCCCAAUUCGUAAUGUUAACAUUUUCGUUUCUCUCUUUUUUUUUUUUUUUCUUCUCUUUUUUUUUGGUUCUUCUAACUCUGUCUGCCAUAUAACAAAGAACCGUAGAUUUGGUACAUCGGAAGAUUCAGUAAAACUAAACUAAUGCAUGGCAUGGCUUACUUCAUUUUGACCAGAAAUUACAUAAACACCCCCCAGACAUCCAUAAAAAGGAACUCAGUCCUCCUCACAAAGUCACAGAACAAACAAAACCAAACUGUUUUGUUGAUUUUACUCAGUAAAACUUUGAUUCAGUUUGCUCUCCUCUGGCCACCGGAAUAUUCUUGCUCCGACUCUAAAUCAAUCCUUCUUCUGCCAAAUGUGGAACAAAAGAUUAAACACAUAACCAAAUAUCUCUUCUUUAUUUGGUAAUAUUAGGUGAGCGAAAAAUGGUAUAACUUACUUAGCUCAUCGAAAGAGAUUUUGCUAAUGCUUUCACCAUAUUUGAUCAGCCGGAUCUUCCCUGCAAAAACGCAAAAGAGUCGUAACUCAGCAACAAACUAAUGGUCCGGUCCGGAUCAACAAUAUGAACAUCCAUACCAUCAUGACGAACGCAUAUCUCAGGGAUACUCUUCACUUCACCGCUGAUGCUAUCAUUAUACACUCUAGUCUCAAUAUCACCUUCCACAUAAACCGAUGAGCUGUGUGUAACAAAGCAUCAGACAAAAGUUCAGAUAAAUACUUACACCUUUCACCUCCUAUUUAUUAACUAAUACCAUCAUAGAUCGAGACUGUCGAAGAUAUCAUUCAACUUGAGAGUCUCUGCAAACGAUAUCUUAACCCACAAACUAACUAACAGACUUAUCACUUAGAUAAUCUGAAAUUAGAACACUUAGACUAAUACAAGUCCUUCUUUAAGAUACUUAAACAUGUAAUUAGGCUUACUUUUUAGCGAUUUUUUGGACAGCGUAAGAACCAAGCACUUCGUUGUGCACUGCGAUUCUAUGCCACUGAGCUGGUUUCGGCUGAUUAGUGGCUCCAACAAGCCUCUGAUCAAACAUGCCACCUGUUCCUACUGUGAAGAUCGUUACUGUCCGCCCGUUCCUUAAGAUCUUCUGUAACGGCGAUUGCCCUACCUUCCCACAAAUGAUCGCCUGCUUGUGAACCAAACAAAAUCAACAAUGAUAUGAAACCGCAAGAACACAAUCACCCAAUCAAAAGAAGUCAACUAAAUGAAAUGAUAUUGCAUCGAGAUAACUCAAGUCAAGAACCAUGAUUCGAACAUACGAAAAAGAUAGUUCCUUUUCAACUUGGUUUAUGAAACAGAUUCAGCAAUGGAAGACUUAGAUAAGCCUAAUCUGAUUAUAAUAAACUUCAGCUACUAAUGCUUAACAGUAAGUGUUCAAAGAUUCAAUCUUUUUACCCUAUGGACACCGCGAAAUCCCCAACCUUUACGGGGAUCAACUCCUUGAGGUUGAAGCUCAGGUCUUUCUGAGAUGGUUUCUUGAAAAUCUUCUUCCACACCUUCAUCAAUCGGACCAGUCGAGAACCAAACCCUCGAGCCUCUCUCAAUACUACUCAUUGCUACAUUCGCAAACCCAAAUAAGAAACAGAUGAUUAAUCAAUACACGUUUCUGAGUCAAAACAUUGAAGUGAUUUGAAAGAUGAGAUUUUUACCUAGUGGAGAUAUUGAAGAGGAUCUCAGAACCUUCGAGGCUCUGAUGGCGAGUGAGUUCAUCUGCGAAUUGCAAUGAUCCUUUGAGAUUAGGGUUUAUACGUUACGGCGAUGGAACAAUUUUGAAUUCAGACCAAUUAAGAUUAAAUCAAAAUUAAGCUGAGAAAUGAGAAAUCAGGAUUUGAGGUAAGAAGGAAAUGGCGUACCAGUGAAUGUGAGAAGAGAAGGAGAGAACGCAACACAGAGAGGAGAAAGAGGAAGAAGAAGAAGAAGAACAAGAACAAAACGACGAAGAGAUCUGAUUCGUUAAACCCUGCGGUGAGCCGAGGUUAGAGUUAGAGGACGACGGGAAACUUUAGGUUGUGUUUUGAUUUUACCAAUUUAACCUUCGUUUUUUUUUUUUUCUGAUGAAUGAAAAUGAGAAGAAAUGGGACCACUUUACAAAUUACAAGACCAUAAAGAUUUUAGAUUGUCGACAAAAAAAAAAAAAAAAAACAAAAAAAAAAAAA